rnacentral:rRNA from 1 species
UACGAAGGGGGCUAGCGUUGCUCGGAAUUACUGGGCGUAAAGCGCACGUAGGCGGUCUUUUAAGUCGGGGGUGAAAUCCUGGAGCUCAACUCCAGAACUGCCUUCGAUACUGGAAGACUCGAGUCCGGGAGAGGUGAGUGGAACUGCGAGUGUAGAGGUGAAAUUCGUAGAUAUUCGCAAGAACACCAGUGGCGAAGGCGGGUCUCUGGGCAGUAACUGACGCUGAGGAGCGAAAGCGUGGGGAGCGAACAGG